rnacentral:pre_miRNA from 1 species
CCGGNACUCCCUCCGUCCGGAAAUACUUGUCAUCAAAAUGGAUAAAAGGAAAUGUAUCUAGACGUAUUUUAGUUUUAGAUACAUCUCUUUUUAUCCAUUUUGAUGACAAGUAUUUUCGGACGGAGGGAGUAGAAA